rnacentral:rRNA from 1 species
GUGUCAGCAGCCGCGGUAAUACGUAGGGGGCAAGCGUUGUCCGGAAUUAUUGGGCGUAAAGCGCGUGUAGGCGGCUUGGUAAGUCCGCUGUGAAAACUCGGGGCUCAACCCCGAGCCUGCGGUGGAUACUGCCUCGCUCGAGUCCGGGAGGGGAGAGCGGAAUUCCUAGUGUAGCGGUGAAAUGCGCAGAUAUUAGGAAGAACACCGGUGGCGAAGGCGGCUCUCUGGAACGGUACUGACGCUGAGACGCGAAAGCGUGGGGAGCAAACAGGAUUAGAAACCCGCGUAGUCC